rnacentral:tRNA from 3 species
GCCGAAGUAGCUCAGUUGGUAGAGCAGCUGAUUUGUAAUCAGCAGGUCGGGGGUUCGACUCCCUUCUUCGGCU